GACGAACGCUGGCGGCGUGCUUAACACAUGCAAGUCGAACGGAAAGGCCCUGCUUUUGUGGGGUGCUCGAGUGGCGAACGGGUGAGUAACACGUGAGUAACCUGCCCUUGACUUUGGGAUAACUUCAGGAAACUGGGGCUAAUACCGGAUAGGAGCUCCUGCUGCAUGGUGGGGGUUGGAAAGUUUCGGCGGUUGGGGAUGGACUCGCGGCUUAUCAGCUUGUUGGUGGGGUAGUGGCUUACCAAGGCUUUGACGGGUAGCCGGCCUGAGAGGGUGACCGGCCGCUUUGGGCCUACGUGAGGCCGCAGUCCCCGACGGGCGGCAGCGGGGGAAAGUUUGACGCAGGGGCGGCACGCGAGAUGCGGAAGCCCCGGGGGCGGAAAGCCGGCUUUGGGUUUAAAACCCGUUUUCGCCUGAACCGAGGGGUGAGUGACGGUACUGUAUAAGAAAGCCCCGGCUAACUACGUG
rnacentral:rRNA from 1 species